rnacentral:lncRNA from 1 species
UCAUGCCCCCGUGGGUCUCUGGGGUAGAUGUUGUACCAGAGAACCCUGCUUCCUCCUGAACUUGAUACCAGAGAAGGAGGUGGAGGAAGAAAGUUGCAGUGCCUUUAAGUCGCCACGCCCUAAAAUGAGGAAAAUGAGAUGAGGGAGGUGGAGGCAGUCACAGCCAUAAGCUCAGUGCAUUUUGCUAUCAGAACAGCCUUAUAGCUGGGACCAAACCAGGGUACAAGAUAGACCUCUACCUGCUUGUCUUAGGGAGAGGUGGCAGGAAGUAAGGAUUCCCAGAUUGCAUCCUCAGCUGCCAUCUUCUCAAGAAUGCUUGCUCUGUAAGUCUCCGAGGUAGCCACCUUAAGCAUUGUUUACCACUUCUGGUUUCCUUUAGCUAAGAAUUGACUAAAGAAAUUGGGGGCAUUUCUGUGGAACUACACAAGCC